rnacentral:rRNA from 1 species
UCCCUACGGGGGGCUGCAGUGGGGAAUUUUGGACAAUGGGGGCAACCCUGAUCCAGCCAUGCCGCGUGAGUGAAGAAGGCCUUCGGGUUGUAAAGCUCUUUCGGCCGGGAAGAAAUCGCACAGGCUAAUACCUUGUGUGGAUGACGGUACCGGAAUAAGAAGCACCGGCUAACUACGUGCCAGCAGCCGCGGUAAUACGUAGGGUGCGAGCGUUAAUCGGAAUUACUGGGCGUAAAGCGUGCGCAGGCGGUUUUUUAAGAUAGGCGUGAAAUCCCCGGGCUUAACCUGGGAACUGCGCGUAUGACUGGAAGACUAGAGUACGGCAGAGGGGGGUGGAAUUCCACGUGUAGCAGUGAAAUGCGUAGAGAUGUGGAGGAACACCGAUGGCGAAGGCAGCCCCCUGGGCCGAUACUGACGCUCAUGCACGAAAGCGUGGGGAGCAAACAGGAUUAGAUACCCGGGUAGUCC